rnacentral:rRNA from 1 species
GAUGAACGCUGGCGGCGUGCUUAACACAUGCAAGUCGAACGAAGCACUCUAUUUGAUUUCCUUCGGGACUGAUUAUUUUGUGACUGAGUGGCGGACGGGUGAGUAACGCGUGGGUAACCUGCCUUGUACAGGGGGAGAACAGUUGGAAACGGCUGCUAAUACCGCAUAAGCGCACGGCAUCGCAUGAUGCAGUGUGGAAAAGUCCGGUGGUAUAAGAUGGACCCGCGUUGGUUUAGCUAGUUGGUGAGGUAACGGCCCACCAAGGCGACGAACCAUAGCCGGGAUGGGAGGGUGACCAGCCACACUGGGACUGAGACACGGCCCAGACUCCUACGGGAGGCAGCAGUGGGGAAUAUUGCACAAUGGGCGAAAGCCUGAUGCAGCGACGCCGCGUGAGCGAAGAAGUAUUUCGGGAUGUAAAGCUCUAUUAGCAGGGAAGAUAAUGACGGUACCUGAAUAAGAAGCACCGGCUAACUACGUG